rnacentral:lncRNA from 1 species
ACUCUGGAGAGGCAGCCCCCACUUGGAGGGACCAGGACCCGAGCCCUGCCCAUCCCCGAAUCCUGGGAGCCCUGCGUGGGGAGUGUCGAGGGCCUGGGUCGGGGGGCAAACUAGUGUGGAGCCAACUUUAAUGGAGGACCUAGCAAGUGCCAGGCAGCAUUCUGAGCCCUGGAAUCCGGUGAUGAACAUGACAGACAAGAUUCCUGCCCCCAAGGAGCUGCACCUUAAUAAGUCCCGCAAUGAAGGAGACAGAACAUAAACAGAGGAAAAUACACAAGAUGCCAGCUUGUGAGAAGUGCUAGCAAAAAAAGACACAAGUAUGUCCAGAGAGUCUGAGGUGUAUACAGAAAAGCAAAGAUUAAAUCCUCAUACCUCUCUGGAAAAGUGGAGGGGACCACAUUCCAGCAUCUGGUGCCUUGUUUGCCCCAAACAUGACUUCAAGUGAAUCGACAUAAUACUCUUCCAGAGGGAAAGCAGAACCAUCUGCAGGGCUGAGGGACCAAGAAACACAGUGAGGAAUUCCACAGGAGGCCCACGCGGAGGGAUGUGACACCCCAGGUGGACUCUAGGGGACGCUCACUUGGAACUUGCAUCACCCGGAACUGUGUCUGCCACUGUGACUUCAGAGCAGCACAGACCUGAGGUGGAUCCAGCAAUGCCCACAACUGUCCAACAAUUUCACUUUUCCGAGGCUCAGUUUCCAUGUGGAAAAUGGACUGGCUCUGAGUAUUAAAUGAGGAUGAAUGUCCAUAUGCCUCACCCCUUUCUUCAUGAAAGGAAGACACCUCUGGGACUCAGACAAAUGGCCAAUAACAUCUAGUCUUUAUUCAGUCCUAACUGCAUGACAAUACAACUAGCGUAACAGUCAUCAACAUAAGGAAUGCUCUCAAUAUUGCUCGAUGCCCUGUGUGCUAUCACUAAUAGCAACAACUGCUGUUCAUCUAUGCCACGAUAUGCACCAAAUCUACACCACUCCU